UUCAGUCAGAGACCGUGAAUUGUCUCGAGCAUCCUCCAAGUAGAAACCAUCAACUGGGCCAAGAUGGCUGAGUUUUUUCAGGUAAAGGCAUCAACAACUACAUUACCCCUACUUGGGAAGUAUAGGAUCCUACAAUCAUAAUCUUUUAAGAGGUCCAUCCAAUAACUCUUUCUGAAAAAAAAAGAUUUCAAACUUCGUAUUAUCUGCGUAGAUCUCAAAAGUGUGAUCGU
rnacentral:lncRNA from 1 species